UUAAAACGUUAUUUAUACAUAUGUAUAACAUGUGUAUGUACACGUACGCAUUUUGCACAUGCAUUGUUUUUAUAGGUAUGUCCAGGGAAUGUCCUACAUCGCCUUGGUAUUUCUGUUGUAUUGUAAAUUAGAGAAAGCCUUUGUUUAUUUCGCAAAUUUCAUGGAUCGAAAAAAUAUAUUCAAUAUGUACAGCUUUAACAAAGAAGAAAUAAAGAUUUACAUAUAUACUAUUAAGGAAAUACUAGCUAAACAAAAUAUAGAAACAUAUAAAGAAAUUGUCAAACAUUAUAACAUAGAUAAUAUUUUUAUUCAAUGGAUGUACACAAUUUUUUUAACAUGUUUACCUUUUCAAAUUUUUAUCCGCAUAUUUGACAUUUACACCUUUUACGAAAAUAUAAUAUAUGAGACCAUAUUAUGUAUUUUUACAUAUAUUAAUAAGCUCCACUCAAUGGAUAACGUUGACAAUUUAAUCAAAAAUUUACCAUCCUUCUCCUUUAACACACAUAUACAAGUAAUUUGUUCAGAACAACAUUUUUUUUUUUUUUUUUUUUUUUUUAAUACUAUUUUAUUGAUUGAUCAUUAUUUGUAACUUAUUAUUACUGUUCACUAAAUUAUGAUUCUUAUUUGUUUUUAACAGGAAGACAAAUUUUGGAGGAUGUUAAAAAGUCGAAAAUAAAAAAAGGAAAAAUACUUUAUUAUAGGGAAAA
rnacentral:lncRNA from 1 species